rnacentral:rRNA from 1 species
GCAUAUCAAUAAGCGGAGGAAAAGAAACCAACAGGGAUUGCCCUAGUAACGGCGAGUGAAGCGGCAACAGCUCAAAUUUGAAAUCUGGCCUCACGGUCCGAAUUGUAAUUUGUAGAGGAUGUUUCUGGCGACGUGUCUUCCGAGUUCCCUGGAACGGGACGCCAUAGAGGGUGAGAGCCCCGUCCGGUCGUACACCUAGCCUCUGUGAAACUCCUUCGACGAGUCGAGUAGUUUGGGAAUGCUGCUCUAAAUGGGAGGUAUACGUCUUCUAAAGCUAAAUACCGGCCAGAGACCGAUAGCGCACAAGUAGAGUGAUCGAAAGAUGAAAAGCACUUUGAAAAGAGGGUUAAAUAGUACGUGAAAUUGCUGAAAGGGAAGCGCUUAUGACCAGACUUGGGCUCGGUGAAUCAUCCGGCGUUCUCGCCGGUGCACUUUGCCGUCCCAGGCCAGCAUCAGUUCGCGCCGGGGGAUAAAGGUUUCGGGAAUGUAGCUCCCUCGGGAGUGUUAUAGCCCGUUGCGUAAUACCCUGGCGUGGACUGAGGUCCGCGCUCUGCAAGGAUGCUGGCGUAAUGGUCAUCAGUGACCCGUCUUGAAACACGG